UUAGAUGGACCCUAAUAAGUCCCAUAAACA
rnacentral:tRNA from 1 species